GACGAACGCUGGCGGCGUGCUUAACACAUGCAAGUCGAACGGAAAGGCCCUGCUUGCAGGGUACUCGAGUGGCGAACGGGUGAGUAACACGUGGGUGAUCUGCCCUGCACUUCGGGAUAAGCCUGGGAAACUGGGUCUAAUACCGGAUAGGAGCCAUUUUGAGUGGGAUGGUUGGAAAGUUUUUUCGGUGUAGGAUGAGCUCGCGGCCUAUCAGCUUGUUGGUGGGGUAAUGGCCUACCAAGGCGGCGACGGGUAGCCGGCCUGAGAGGGUGGACGGCCACAUUGGGACUGAGAUACGGCCCAGACUCCUACGGGAGGCAGCAGUGGGGAAUAUUGCACAAUGGGCGCAAGCCUGAUGCAGCGACGCCGCGUGGGGGAUGACGGCCUUCGGGUUGUAAACUCCUUUCGCUAGGGACGAAGCUUUUUGUGACGGUACCUAGAUAAGAAGCACCGGCUAACUACGUG
rnacentral:rRNA from 1 species